rnacentral:rRNA from 1 species
UACAGAGGGUGCAAGCGUUGUUCGGAAUCAUUGGGCGUAAAGGGCGCGUAGGCGGGAUGGCAAGUCGGUCGUGAAAUCCCUCGGCUCAACUGAGGAGCGUCGAUCGAAACUGCCGUUCUUGAGGGUUGCAGAGGAGACUGGAAUUCCUGGUGUAGCGGUGAAAUGCGCAGAUAUCAGGAGGAACACCAAUGGCGAAGGCAGCUCGCUGGGACGUGACUGACGCUGAGACGCGAAAGCGUGGGGAGCAAACAGG